GCGAUGAGCUGAAUUGUGUAAGUCGGGAACACUCCCUUUUGGGAACAUGCGAUGUGGCGCAUGGUUACCCGCCUCAAUACGCAGAAAGGCGCCUAUCCUCGGAUAGGCGCC
rnacentral:sRNA from 1 species